UAAAAGAAAAGUAACGUCAAACUCUUUGACGAAUUGACUCAUUGUGAGAUUUGAAUUGAUCAUGACUCUGAAGAAGGCUUAUACACUGUCAUAUAAUUUACACUGCCACACAAUCUUGCCUUGCCAAGGAACCUUUGGCAAAGCUAGUCACGCCAGCUUUGGGACAAGGAAAAUUUGUAACUUGACAAGUCUACAAGAAAUACUUCUGUGGUUUUGGUAAACAAAAGGUGGUGAAAACAUGAUAUAAAUGUGUUUAACAACACAAACAACAAAACUUAUUAUCAAGGGAAACUUGUCAAAGAAACUAACUUGUUGACCGUACACACGAGAAAGUAAACUUGUCAAAGGAAAUUUGUCAAGGGAAACGUGCUCGUAUGUACGGUGCCUUAAAGAAAUUAUAGAAGAUUUGUCUGAAAUUGGAGAAGAUGGAAGGAGGGUCAGCCUCAUUGAACUAUAAGUAAACAGGUACAGGUAUAGUAUGUAGUACUAUAGGUUUAUUUAUAGUUCAAUGGUCAGCCUUCAAGUUAGGUUAGCCAUAUUAUUCGAUAAUUAUAAUAUCAGUUAGCUAGAUGCCUAGAUUGUAGUGAAUCGCGAUAUUUAUCUAAUGUUGAUGGGGUUGUGAUUAAAUUUCUUUGUAUCCUGAUCCAUUCCUGUCAAAUUUUCCUGUGGGAAGAAACCGGAAUACGAACAACAGGCGGGAAGAUUACUAUUGUUUUGUAUAGAGUAUUCCCAUGGAUAAUUGUCCGAUGAUUCGAAUUUUAUGUUUCGAAAUGGAAUUUGAGGAAUCGAAUCCACAAUAUUCAAUAAUCAAUAUCGGUGCAACAUCAUUUGGUCAAAAUAACCACAUACGAAAUACAUUUGACUUCCUUUGGUAGAAACAAAUGAAACUGAAACAGGUCAAUG